AACGAACGCUGGCGGCAGGCCUAACACAUGCAAGUCGAACGGGACAUUCGGGUCUAGUGGCGGACGGGUGAGUAACGCGUGGGAACGUGCCCUUUGGUUCGGAAUAGCCCCGGGAACUGGGAGUCAUACCGGAUAAGCUCUACGGGGGAAAGAUUUAUCGCCAAAGGCUCGGCCUGCAUUGGGUUAGGUAGUUGGUGGGGUAAUGGCGCACCAAGCCGACGAUCCAUAGCGGGUUUGAGAGGAUGGGCCGCCGCACUGGGACUGAGACACGGCCCAGGCUCUUACGGCAGGCAGCAGUGGGGAAUCUUAGAUAAUUGGGGAGACCCUGAACGAGCCAUGCCGCGUGAUAGAAGAAGGCCUUAGGGUUGUAAAGAGCUUUCAGUGUGGGAUAUAAUGACUUUACGCACAGAAGAAGCCCCGCCUAACUCCGUGCCAGCAGCCGCCGUAAUAC
rnacentral:rRNA from 1 species